rnacentral:rRNA from 1 species
GGGGAAUAUUGGACAAUGGGCGCAAGCCUGAUCCAGCCAUGCCGCGUGGGUGAAGAAGGCCUUCGGGUUGUAAAGCCCUUUUGUUGGGAAAGAAAAGCAGCCGGCCAAUACCCGGUUGUUCUGACGGUACCCAAAGAAUAAGCACCGGCUAACUUCGUGCCAGCAGCCGCGGUAAUACGUAGGUGGCAAGCGUUGUCCGGAAUUAUUGGGCGUAAAGCGCGCGCAGGUGGUUUCUUAAGUCUGAUGUGAAAGCCCACGGCUUAACCGUGGAGGGUCAUUGGAAACUGGGAGACUUGAGUGCAGAAGAGGAAAGUGGAAUUCCAAGUGUAGCGGUGAAAUGCGUAGAGAUUUGGAGGAACACCAGUGGCGAAGGCGACUUUCUGGUCUGCAACUGACGCUGAGGCACGAAAGCGUGGGGAGCAAACA